rnacentral:lncRNA from 1 species
CGCUCACCUGCCGGGCCCUAGGCUCGCUCCAUGGCCGCCCGCGCGGUGCGGUGCGGCGCGGCCCCGGCCGCCCCCGCCGCCUCCGGGGAGGGGCAGCCCCACGCCGCGCUCACCGCCCCCAGCCGCCGCCGCCACUGCGGCUCCCGCCCACCCCCGGCCCGGCCAUUCCCCGGCCCCCUCUCCCCGCCCGGAGCCGGCGGUCCCACACCCACCCCCCUCCUCCGCGGCCCCGACAGUUGGUAACGUCCUAGCGUAACGCCUUCCCCGCGACCAAUCCGAGGGCCCAUCCUGCGAGGCCCCACCCCCGCCCCGUGGGUGGGGCUACCGGACCAGCUCCGGACCGCCCCCCUUAACCCUUUCCGUCCCGGGCGCGCCGCUUAACUCUCUCGGCGCCGGCUCACCUCUCCUCCUUCUCCUUGCCGGCCCGCCCCGCCCUGCUUACAUAAACUGACCUCUCUCUUCCCUCUUGCCUUCGCCUUUUCCUUCCUGAUUUUCGUAAGCAGGUAGACAGCCAGGCAGCGGGACUGGAAGGUCGGGGCGCCUUAGGUUAAGUUCUAUUUGUGAGAAGCAAUUUUCUUCCUUCUUUUACCCUUUUAAUUUGAGUCUGCUUCUGCUUCUGCCUGUCUAAAUGUAUCCUCCUUGCCCGGGAGAGGCCAACCUUCCGACAGUGAGUGCAAAUCGCGCUUCCUUCACACCAGAGCAAAGCUCCUCGCUACAUUUGGUGCAUUUAACAAAACUGCGAUUAGUUUACUGUAAUAUUAGUUGUUUAACGUCUGUCUCUUGCGAUGGACUGUAAGCUCCAUGAGGACAGAGGAGUUGUCUUUGGGUCUCCAAGGCCUGACACCCAGUAGACUCCCUAUAAAUGGUUUGAAUGAAAGAUUCUUCCUCCUGUUGUUUCCUUUCCACUGACUCCAUACAGAGCAUCUGCUGUAUAAUGCAUCCAUUCAUUUAUUCACCAUAUACAAAGCUUGGACUUAGAAUAUCUGUCCCUAAAAACAUUAUAGUGCACAUUACUCCAUGAGAUAAGAUAUGCGAUGAGCGAAAGGCGGAGCUGACUUUUUUCAGGCUAGCUAGUUCAUUUAAGCAGCAGAGUGUAGUGGAAAGAACUCUUCCUUAUAGGCUGUAUGAUAUUGGGUGUGCCACUUAACCUCUCAGAGUAUCAAUUUCCUUAUUUGGAAAAUGGGCAUUAAACAUAAUACCUACUUCACAGGGUUGUUGUGAGGACUAAAUUAGGAAAUGUGUGGGGAAAGUACUUGCAAAGUAUUGCAUAAAGUUAGUUAGCAGUCAUGUGUGUAUUUAUUGAGCACUAUCGGGAGAUCCUAGAGGAAUAAUUGUUCUUGACUCUGGCCUCUGACAAUCUAGUUAGGGAGGCAGCCCCUCAGCAGAACAGGUUCCUCACUGCGAGAAGGAGUGGACAGUCAAAUGUAGGAGUUGUAUUGGCCUCCACUGCAUAUGGUGGAAAAGGUUUGGGGUCGUUUUCUGACCACGGAACACAUAAUUCUUGGGAAAAUGAGCUGGAUGGCGAUGAGAGUCUGCCUUAUUUCUCUACACAGGAACUUUGGUCUGCCUGCAGUCAGCUAAUCUCCUCCAACCUCAUUCACUGCAUCAGGAGAUCAUAAAGCAAAAGGGCAAAUCAACAGUUCCUCUAAGACGCCUUACCCCAAGGGGACUCUCCUUUCUUGCCUGAAACUCUCACAAGGGCAGUGAGGGUAGACUGUCCCUCUGUCACUGCCCAGAAGGCCCACACAUCCUGCAGCCCAGUUUCCUAGUGAUCUCCCCUGUCUUUAAGGACCUUCAGAGAGGAGGGUUCAUGGCCUUCUAGGCAACCCACUCCAGUGCUGAAUUUUACCUCCAUCACAUCCUUCCAUCCACCUCAUGUGCUGCAGAACAGACAUACCUCCUUCUCUUCUGUCUUCGGGGAAGGAGAGCCAUAGGUUCAGGGCCUCUGUGGCAAAGGCUUUCAGACAGCAAAAUUGUUCUGUCCCCAGUUUUCUGUUCACUAGGCCGCAUUAUCCAGCCUCUUUGUGAAUGUAUGCCCAGCACCAGCACAGCAUCCAAACUCCAGGACGUUGCUUUCUGCCCUCUCCUCCUGUAAUGGGCCUUAUUUCCCAGCCAAUCAAUAGUCAGUGUAUUCUAGGUAUUGUAGGGGAUGCCAUCAUUUAAGAAGGGAACUCUGCCAUCAAAGAGUUUACAUGACUAGCACACAGGAAGCAGCGGCAAGGAAUACGGGGGACUCAAAUUAUGCAGCACAGACUCUGUGAUCGCUGACAGAAUCAGGGUCCAGGAAUACCAGUGUGGGCUGGUAUUGUCAGGGAGGGAGGAUUGAGGUGAGCAAAAUAUGAGUGGGCGAUGAGAGGAACAAUAUGAACCAAAGUUAGCUAAUUUGUUCCUGCCUCCCUCCCUCCCUCUCUUCCUUCCUCCCUUCAGUGAAUGUCUACCCAGUGCCAGACACUGAGCUAGACCCAGGCCGUGCAAAGACAAAGAAGCUUUCGUCCUCACCCUUGAGCAGCUUACCAUCUGACUCCCUUCUCCACACUGAUGUGUUGAAGUGCACUGAGUUGAAAUCCAAGCAGGAAUUUGGCUGUCCCCCUCCAGCCAUGGCGGUGCACACACAUCCUCAGCAGAGGUUAGUAGCCCGAGUGGAGAACCCUCCAGUGGCUUGCCCACUGCCUGCAGAAGUGAAUAGCAACUCCUCUGCUUGGCAUUUCCAGUCCCAGUCCACCUUUCCAGGGCCAUUAUCUGUUAUCUGUUAUCUGCCCUAAGAAGAUGGUAACUUCUCCUCCCUAUCCUGCCUGUCCUAAAGGGCUCACUUGCUGUCUGAGGACAUCCCCUUUCCCAGCUCCCACAGUUGUGUUCAUGCAGAUUCUUCCUCCAGAACUUGCCCCCUCACCCCGCCCCUCUCCACCUGUGAAAAUGUUACAUAUCUCUCAAAUGCCAUUUGCUUGUGAAGCCUUUCCUGACCUUUCCAAGUGCAUGUAUUUUCCUGAGCAUCUAAGACUCAGUACUUUGUCCCCCUUUUGUGGUAUGGUUUGUAUUGACGUCUUUGGGGAUAUGUCUGACCCCUUCCCCUGGAGUGUAAAGCCUUUGGGGCUGAAAACAGCGUUGUAGUCACAUCUGUGUCUUCUGUAAUGCUCACGCUGUACUGCACUAGCACUGUAGUGCUUACAUGGCCCGUGGUAAACACUCAACACUUGAAGGGGAAGUUUUAGGAGAACAGGUCCUGCAGACAUGGGAAAUCAAGAGCCCUGGAGGUUUCUUUCUUGGCCCCUUCAUUAUUGUGCUUUCCUUAAACUGUUUCAGAAUUUCCAAGUAUCUGCCAAUUUGUCAAGCCCCAGGACUCAAAUAACAGUCCAGCAAUCCGGAGGUAUAAGGGGAGUAUUGUCUCAAGGUGCCUGCAUACACGAACACAAAACACACACACACACACACACACACACACACACACACACUCCUUUUAAGAGAAUACACUCACAGUGAAGGAUCCUACUGAAACUACUUAAGUAAGUUCUACAUCAAGAAAGUUGAGGGGAGCUGUAAGGGG